rnacentral:rRNA from 1 species
AGAGUUUGAUCCUGGCUCAGAUUGAACGCUGGCGGCAGGCCUAACACAUGCAAGUCGAACGGUAGCACAGAGGAGCUUGCUCCUUGGGUGACGAGUGGCGGACGGGUGAGUAAUGUCUGGGAAACUGCCCGACAGAGGGGGAUAACUACUGGAAACGGUAGCUAAUACCGCAUAACCUCGAAAGAGCAAAGUGGGGGACCUUCGGGCCUCACGCUGUCGGAUGUGCCCAGAUGGGAUUAGCUAGUAGGUGGGGUAAUGGCUCACCUAGGCGACGAUCCCUAGCUGGUCUGAGAGGAUGACCAGCCACACUGGAACUGAGACACGGUCCAGACUCCUACGGGAGGCAGCAGUGGGGAAUAUUGGACAAUGGGCGAAAGCCCGAUCCAGCAAUAUCGCGUGAGUGAAGAAGGGCAAUGCCGCUUGUAAAGCUCUUUCGUCGAGUGCGCGAUCAUGACAGGACUCGAGGAAGAAGCCCCGGCUAACUCCGUGCCAGCAGCCGCGGUAAU